rnacentral:rRNA from 1 species
AAGCACUUUGCUUAGAUUCUUCGGAUGAAGAGGAUCGUGACUGAGCGGCGGACGGGUGAGUAACGCGUGGGUAACCUGCCUCAUACAGGGGGAUAACAGUUAGAAAUGACUGCUAAUACCGCAUAAGACCACAGCGCCGCAUGGUGCGGGGGUAAAAACUCCGGUGGUAUGAGAUGGACCCGCGUCUGAUUAGCUGGUUGGUAAGGUAACGGCUUACCAGGGCGACGAUCAGUAGCCGACCUGAGAGGGUGACCGGCCACAUUGGGACUGAGACACGGCCCAAACUCCUACGGGAGGCAGCAGUGGGGAAUAUUGCACAAUGGGGGAAACCCUGAUGCAGCGACGCCGCGUGAGCGAAGAAGUAUUUCGGUAUGUAAAGCUCUAUCAGCAGGGAAGAAAAUGACGGUACCUGACUAAGAAGCACCGGCUAAAUACGUGCCAGCAGCCGCGGUAAUACGUAUGGUGCAAGCGUUAUCCGGAUUUACUGGGUGUAAAGGGAGCGUAGACGGAUGGGCAAGUCUGAUGUGAAAACCCGGGGCUCAACCCCGGGACUGCAUUGGAAACUGUUCAUCUAGAGUGCUGGAGAGGUAAGUGGAAUUCCUAGUGUAGCGGUGAAAUGCGUAGAUAUUAGGAGGAACACCAGUGGCGAAGGCGGCUUAC